UGAACAUGCCUCUGGUGGACCUGUCGUGGCGCCAGCCGCGCAGCAGGGUAGCUAUGCAUGGACGGGAUAACCGCUGAAAGCAUCUAAGCGGGAAGCCUCCCUCAAGAUAAGAUAUCUCAGAGCCGUGGAAGACCACCACGUUGAUAGGCCGGAUGUGGAAGCGGGGUAACCCGUGGAGCUAACCGGUCCUAAUUGCUCUAUUCGCGCUUGA
rnacentral:rRNA from 1 species